ensembl:lncRNA
ACCAGUUCCACAUGCACUCCCUAAUCAGGUUCUAAUCACUGAUUAAUAUGAUUCGAAUUUUAUGGAUUUGAAGAUGUGAUGAACGUAAGGGUGUACUUACUUUUUCCAUGUGAUUAAUUUGUUUUGUUUUUUAAUUUAAAUUCUGAAAAUUACUACAAAAUGUCGGUUUUAUGCGUCAUGUGAUGGGGUAUCAGCUUUAUUAAUAGACACUGUUUCAAAGAGGAUCACAUGAUUACUUGUCCAAAUACUCUAUGUGAAAAAAUCCAACAGCUUCCAUGGGGCGUACUUACUUUUUCACAUGACUGUAAAUAAAUAACUGAAUGAACAAGUGAGUAAAUAAAUAAAUUUGUAGGUGAGUAAAUGAACCCAGAGCACAAGUGUACGCACUCCAUGCAGUUAAUAACUGAAAAUAAUGAUGAGAGAUCAUUAAAAUUGGGCCGUGUAUUAAUUCUGUUUCACAUUACACACCUUUACAUACCGCGCACGACACACCACAGUAACCGCAUUUACACACACCAGAAGAUAGAUGCAUAAACAAACAAACAAAUAAGUGAGCGAGUAAAUAAAUAAAGAGAUAAAUAGAUGGAUAGACAGAUAGAUAAGUAAACAAACCAAUAAAUGAUUGAGUGCGUAAAUAAUUAAAUAAACGGAUAAAUAGACAAGUGAGUACAUAGAUAGAUAAAUAAAUAAACAAAUGAGUGAGUGAGAAAAUAGAUAGAUAGAUAGAUAAAUGAAUGAGUGAGUAAAUAGAUAGAUAGAUAGAUAGAUAAAUGAAUGAGCGAGUGAGUAAAUAGAUAGAUAGAUAGAUAGAUAGAUAGAUAGAUAGAUAGAUAAACGAAUGAGCGAGUGAGUAGAUAGAUAGAUAGAUAAAUGAGUGAGUGAGAAAAUGAAUGAGUGAGUGUUAAAAUAGAUAGAUAGAUAGAUAAAUGAAUGAGUGAGUGUUAAAAUAGAUAGAUAGAUAGAUAGAUAAAUGAAUGAGCGAGUGAGUAAAUAGAUAGAUAGAUAGAUAAAUGAAUGAGCGAGUGAGUAAAUAGAUAGAUAGAUAGAUAGAUAAACAAAUGAAUAGAUAGAUAAAUGAGUGAGUGAGAAAAUAGAUGAAUAAAUGAA